rnacentral:rRNA from 1 species
UACAGAGGUCUCAAGCGUUGUUCGGAUUCAUUGGGCGUAAAGGGUGCGUAGGUGGCGCGCUAAGUCAGGUGUGAAAUUUCGGAGCUUAACUCCGAAACUGCAUUUGAUACUGGCGUGCUUGAGGACUGGAGAGGAGGCUGGAAUUCACGGUGUAGCAGUGAAAUGCGUAGAUAUCGUGAGGAAGACCAGUGGCGAAGGCGGGUCUCUGGACAGUUCCUGACACUGAGGCACGAAGGCCAGGGGAGCAAACGGG